rnacentral:rRNA from 1 species
UACGAGUGCCCCAAGCGUUAUCCGGAAUUAUUGGGCGUAAAGAGCUCGUAGGCGGUCUGUCACGUCGGCUGUGAAAACCCGAGGCUCAACCUCGGGCCUGCAGUCGAUACGGGCAGACUAGAGUUCGGUAGGGGAGACUGGAAUUCCUGGUGUAGCGGUGAAAUGCGCAGAUAUCAGGAGGAACACCGGUGGCGAAGGCGGGUCUCUGGGCCGAAACUGACGCUGAGGAGCGAAAGCGUGGGGAGCGAACAGG